CUGCUGGGGGGAAAUGAAGUGGAUGUGGGUAUCCAGGCCGCCGGCGGUGAGGAUCAGUCCCUCCCCGGCCAGGGCCUCCGUGGAGGCGCCCACGGUCAUUCCCGGGGUCACGCCGUCCAUGACAGAGGGGUUGCCGGCCUUGCCGAUGCCGGCGAUUUUCCCGUCCUUGACUCCGAUGUCCGCCUUAUAAAUUCCUGUAUAGUCCAGGACCAGGGCGUUGGUGAUCACCAGAUCCAGAUCCCCGUCGGCGCUGGCGGUCUUUACCGACUGGCCCAUGCCGUCCCG
rnacentral:sRNA from 1 species